GACGAACGCUGGCGGCGUGCUUAACACAUGCAAGUCGUACGGUAAGGCCCUUUCGGGGGUACGCGAGUGGCGCACGGGUGAGUAACACGGGUGUAACCUGCCCACCACUUUGGGAUAACGCUAGGAAACUGGUGCUAAUACUGUAUAUGUACUCCUGCUGCAUGGUGGGGGGUGGAAAGCUCCGGCCGUUGUGGAUGGACUCGCGGCCUAUCAGCUUGUUGGUGGGGUAGUGGCCUACCAAGGCGGCGACGGGUAGCCGGCCUGAGAGGGUGAGCGGCCACAUUGGGACUGAGAUUCGGCCCAGACUCCUACGGGAGGCAGCAGGGGGGAAUAUUGCACAAUGGGCGCCAGCCUGAUGCAGCCACGCCGCGGGCGGGAGGACGGCCUUCGGGUUGUAAACCGCUUUCAGCAGGGACGAAGCUUUUUGUGACGGUACCUACAGAAGAAGCACCGGCUAACUACGUG
rnacentral:rRNA from 1 species